GACAGAGGGUGCAAACGUUGUUCGGAUUUACUGGGCGUAAAGCGCGUGUAGGCGGCGAGAUAAGUCGGACGUGAAAGCCCUCGGCUCAACCGGGGAAGUGCAUUCGAAACUGUCUAGCUAGAGUCUCGGAGAGGAAGGUGGAAUGCUUGGUGUAGAGGUGAAAUUCGUAGAUAUCAAGCGGAACACCGGUGGCGAAGGCGACCUUCUGGACGAUGACUGACGCUGAGACGCGAAAGCGUGGGGAGCAAACAGG
rnacentral:rRNA from 1 species